rnacentral:tRNA from 1 species
GGGGAUUUGGCUCAGUGUAGAGCGCUUGCCUAGGAAGCGCAAGGUCCUGGGUUCAAUCCCCAGCCCCG